rnacentral:lncRNA from 1 species
CCAUUUUGAUUGUCUUGAAAAGAUCUAAAACUUUUAAGUUGGAGGUGUUUUCAUUUGGGGCUUGCAUCAUGGAAACAGAGGGGCUUGAAAAUUGGCCAAUUUUAGAAACUUUGCCUUGACAUGUCAUGCACCUUGCACUUUAAACUCAAAUUUCAUAAAUUUCCACACUUCAAAUGGAUUUUUUCUCAACAUAACAAUUGUUCCUUACAUC